rnacentral:tRNA from 1 species
GGGGUUGUGGCUCAGCGGUAGAGCACUUGGUAAGCAUGUGCGAGAGUCCUGGGUUCGAUUCUCAGCACCA